rnacentral:rRNA from 1 species
GGACGGGUGAGUAACACGUGGAUAACCUACCUAUAAGACUGGGAUAACUUCGGGAAACCGGAGCUAAUACCGGAUAAUAUAUUGAACCGCAUGGUUCAACAGUGAAAGACGGUUUUGCUGUCACUUAUAGAUGGAUCCGCGCCGCAUUAGCUAGUUGGUAAGGUAACGGCUUACCAAGGCAACGAUGCGUAGCCGACCUGAGAGGGUGAUCGGCCACACUGGAACUGAGACACGGUCCAG